GACGAACGCUGGCGGCGUGCCUAACACAUGCAAGUGGAGCGACGAACCAGGGCUUGCCCUGGGGCAGAGCCGCGAACGGGUGAGUAACACGUGGGUAACGUGCCCCGAUGACUGGGACAACCCGGGGAAACCCGGGCUAAUACCGGAUGUGCCCCCUCACAUCAGUGAGGUGUGUAAAGGAAGCUUCGGCCUCCGCAUCGGGAUCGGCCCGCGGCCCAUUAGCUUGUUGGUGAGGUAACGGCUCACCAAGGCUGCGAUGGGUAGCUGGUCUGAGAGGACGAUCAGCCACACUGGGACUGAGACACGGCCCAGACUCCUACGGGAGGCAGCAGUGGGGAAUCUUGCGCAAUGCGCGAAAGCGUGACGCAGCAACGCCGCGUGGGGGAAGACGGCCUUCGGGUUGUAAACCCCUUUCAGUUGGGACGAAGGUCGGGCGGUUAACAGCCGUUCCGGCUGACGGUACCUUCUCAAGAAGCCCCGGCUAACUACGUG
rnacentral:rRNA from 1 species